rnacentral:rRNA from 1 species
AUGUAUCGACUGCAACUCCCCCAAGACAGCAGCAUCCAUCCGGUAUUCCACGUCUCUCAAUUGAAGCCGUUUACCCCAGACUAUACUCCGGUGUUCUCUGAACUACCACGAGUACCGGAUCUUGCCGGUGAGCAAACUGAAACAGUGGCAAUUCUGCAAUGGCGCAUGAUGAAGAAAGGGGAUGCCCAUGUGGUGCAACUACAAGUUCAAUGGGCAAACAUACCACCAUCGGCCACAACCUGUGAAGACUACGACGUUCUUCACCAUCGGUACCCAUCAGCUUGCAUCUGGGAAGAGCCUGCAUCGCAAGAGGGAGGCAAUGUCACGCCUGCAGAUACUGCUACUGCAUCUGCAGCGGACUGA